UAUAACUAAACUUCUAUUAUACCUCUAUUAUUUAUUAAAAAAUACCUCUAUUAUAUAUAAAAAAUACCCUUUGUUGCUUAUAAAUUUGUCAUUUUAUUUCUCUUCCCGUUUCUUUUUUUAUUCUCUUUUUUAUUGUUUUCGGCAGAAUCAUCAAAAACUCCUCUAAAUCUUGGCAUGGAUGACUUUAAAACAAGACUCUCGCAAAUAAGUACCACAAGCAUGUGGCCAUCAAGGGUACGGUUAUUUGAAAAUGAUCAACUCAAAAUCACUCAUACCUUCCAUAAAGGCAACCAAUAUGUUGAUUUUAUGGCCAAGUUAGACGACUCUUCUAACUAGUACCAUCUAGUGCACACAUUCUCCUCUCUCAGGAUUGUUACUAGAGUACAUGCAACUGCACAAUUUUAAGAAUAAUUAUUUGUGAUCUCCCUCCAACUUGUAGUGUGGGUUUAUUAUAACUUACCCAUCUGUUACAUGUACUCAUAGAAUAUGUAUCCAUAUGAUUGGUUAGAGUUGUUAAAAGGAUCGGUGAUUAUUUUAUUAUAUUUAUGAGGUCUGUGAACCAUAUAUAUAGAAAAGAAAAUUGUUUUGUUCAUGUUGCUAAUAUGUUAGAAACAAAUAAAGCUGAGAAAUGAACAAUCUCCUUCUAGUUUAUGAUAUAAUG